UUCUUCAUACUAAUCUUUAUCCUUUUUUCUAGGCAUGAACUCGCUUGUCGAGUCCCUCGGAUUUCCUUCUCUCACAUUUCGUUGGGUUAGACCAGACUUGCAUCGAGUCAAACCUCAGAUCCAAGUCCCUACGGGACUGAUUUCUCACUGGUAUACAAUUAUAUAUGGCUGGUAUACCUUGGAAGCAGCUGCUUCAUACUACUACACCGAGCAAAAAUAAAAAAAAUGUAGGGGAAAUAAGCAAUUUUUCAAAUUAAACUAUUUUCUUGAAAACGAUCAUGGAAUUUAAAUUUCACUUUCUAGCUAUUUUAAUUUACUGACUGGUUCUAUAUCGUUUUUACACAACUUUUAUAUAGGUUUUAUACAAAUCUUAUACAUAAAUAUUCUAUACGGAAAUUAUACAGUUUUGAUACAUAAUUUAUAUAAUAAUUGUACAUUUGCACUUCAAAUUAAACUAUUUCCUUGAAAAUGGCUUUCAUCUUGUUGAGAUUUUUCCUUCUUCGUGAAUGUCCAGAAUGUCACGUCCGAUAGCUAGUUGAAAUCCGGCCAUAUUUUAUAUAUUGUUGUGUUCACUGGAAGUAGAAAAUCCCAUGUUGUAAGUGGACUAGUCAAUAAAGACAUAAUGUUUAGUGGACCUAGAGAGAUGAAUAACUGGAAAACUUUGGUACAAAAGGAUAAGUUUAUCUUUUAUGAAUCAAUGAUGUGAAGAUGUUUUGUCUUGUGGGUGCGCAGCCAUUUUAAUGUUAGUUUUCUUUCCUUUCAUAUGUUUUCCAGUAAACUGUGAAGUCAUGGAAAGUCUUCACUUUUGGUUCAAAAUGGUGAAAUCAUGUUUACUUUUCUUUUCUUUUUUUCUCUUUUGGAGUUUUGCAAUAUAAAAGUUGGAAGUCUCAGAAAAAAUAGUAUUGUUAAUGUAUUUGAAAUUCAUAUGCGUGCUGAUGAUGAUUUGGUUGCGGGUCUCCAAUUUGAAAAGAAGUUGUUAGGACACUUAUAAAGUUAGUAUGGAUCAUGUCGGUAGAUGUAUAAUUCGUUAACCUUUACUAAACAUUUUGUGGGGAUUCUUGGUAAAAAUGAUAAUCUGUGCUAUUGGGUGUCGAUUGAAUCUUUUGAUUUCGUAACGGGAUGAGUUUGUGAGUAUAGAAUGUUGUUUUUUGAGCUAUGAAUGUGGUGCUUGAAAACUUGAUCUACUUCUUCAUACUAAUCUUUAUCCUUUUUUCUAGGCAUGAACUCGCUUGUCGAGUCCCUCGGAUUUCCUUCUCUCACAUUUCGUUGGGUUAGACCAGACUUGCAUCGAGUCAAACCUCAGAUCCAAGUCCCUACGGGACUGAUUUCUCACUGGUAUACAAUUAUAUAUGGCUGGUAUACCUUGGAAGCAGCUGCUUCAUACUACUACACCGAGCAAAAAUAAAAAAAAUGUAGGGGAAAUAAGCAAUUUUUCAAAUUAAACUAUUUUCUUGAAAACGAUCAUGGAAUUUAAAUUUCACUUUCUAGCUAUUUUAAUUUACUGACUGGUUCUAUAUCGUUUUUACACAACUUUUAUAUAGGUUUUAUACAAAUCUUAUACAUAAAUAUUCUAUACGGAAAUUAUACAGUUUUGAUACAUAAUUUAUAUAAUAAUUGUACAUUUGCACUUCAAAUUAAAUUAUUUUCUUGAAAAUGAUUGGAAUUUAAAUUUCACUUUGUAGCUAUUUUAAUUUACUGAUUGGUUCUAUAUCGUUUUUACACAACUUUUAUACAGGUUUUACAAAAAUCUUAUACAUAAAUAUUCUAUACGGAAAUUAUACAGUUUUAAUACAUAAUUUAUAUAAUAGCUGUAUUUUUUUUUACACGUUUUAUACAAUAAUUAUAUAAUUUGUACACUUUCUAUACUUUGUACAUAUACAUAUUUGAUAGAAUUAUACAAUUUUUAUACAUAUAUCUUAUGUAGAUUCAUAUUCUAUUUAAUAAUUUUAUCUUUUUUAUAUAAUUUAAUUAUUAUUUCUAAACAAUAAAAAAAAAGUAAAAUAUUUGAUCAAUUUAAAAAUUUAUAGUAAAAAAAAGAUUGAAAUAUUUUUUAAAGGGUCGAGUUGCUCAAGUUGAAUAUUAUAUCAGUAUUGUAUAUAGAUUGUAUUAGUAUCGUAUAUGGACUGUAUAUAAACUACCUGGAUCAAAAUGAUCGAAAUUGGGAAAGAUUAGGAAAUGGUCAUAAAAUGACAUUUGUUUAGCCGACUGGAUAUUAUUUGUCCAAAUGUCAAACUUGGGUUAUAAUUGGACUAUUAUUUUUUAAAAAGGUCAUAGAGUGUCAUUUUCUCUAAUUUUAACUCAUUUUUUAUUUUCUGUUGUUGCUUAUUUGUAUUUAUUUGGUUAAAAUUUAUAUAUAUACACAAGGUAACUUUACAUUAUUAUAAUAAAUCUCAUAUUGACAAAGUAAUUACAUAAAUUCCAAAGUUAUUACUAAAAUUUCCCAUUUUUUUACUCUCUUUCAUUCUUCUUAUACAUCCCUAAAAAAGGGAUCUGUAUCCUUACUUUUUCUCUCUUUUCCACAUUUGCUUCUUUUUUUUCAUUAAACAAUUCUUUACUUUCUCUCUUUUUCCAUAUUUGUUCCUUUUUUUCCUCUCAUUUAACAAUUCUUUACUUUCUUUCUCUUUACCAUAUUUGUUCUUUUUUCUUUCAUUAAACAAUCGAUUGUUCCUCUAUUAUUGAAUACCCUUUUUCACACUCAAAUUAAAGCAAUUGUAUAUUUAGAGGUUACCAAUUUAUAAAUUAUCAAACAUUUAUUGAACUUACUGAUUUUAUUCACUAAUUUUUAAUUUUUUUUUUUAACUUUACCAAAUCAAAAUAUGGUUCGAUUUUUGGUUGCAUGUUUGUUUUUUUAUGAAAUUAAUUAUUUUUGCAAAUUCAUUUCAGUGUGAUGGUUCGAUAAUAUCUUUUUUUUUCCAAUUAUUAAAAGUCAGAUUUUUGUAUUUUUAUUUUAAUGUUGUUAGUUUUUAUUCGGAUUCUUGUUUGGUUGCAUAUUGAUUUUUCUGAAAUUACCUUAUUUUGCAAUCUCAUUCUAGUUUGUUAGUUGCAUUUUUUCAUUUUUUUCAUAUGAUACAAGUCAGAUCUUUUAAUUUCUUGUUUAUAGUUGCGAUUGCUUAAUCAAUAUAGUAUAAAUUUAGUAAUGGAUUUUCGUUCUAGCUUUAGUUUAGGAUUUAGUCAGUUAGAUGCUCAAUAACAAAAUAUUUUUGUUGAUUUUGUUCCUGGCAUAUUUGAUAUUAUACAAUAACAACAACAAACUCAGUGUAUUCCCACCUAGUGAGAUCUGCGGGGUAGGAUGUACGCAGUCCAUACCACUACUUCAGGAGAAGUAGAAAGACUGUUUCCAAUUGAUCCCCGGCUCAAAACAAGGAGUAAUAAACAAAUACUUAAUAAAGCAUGGAACAAGAUGUCAAGACAUAAAUACGCCAUCCACAAGGAAUAAUAAACAAAGAAUAGUAACCACAUUCGUAAUAAGGCAUGCAACAAAGUGUCCUAGUAAGAAUAAUACAUCUACCAAGUAAUGUUCUACCCUACGACUCAAACUGGCACUUGCCUUCUAUCCUAAUCCGCAUCCUCCAGAUCUUUCUAUCUAGGGUCAUGUCCUCAGUGAGCUAUAACUGCUCCAUGUCCCGCUUAAUUACCUCUCUCCAGCAUUUGAUAUUAUACAUUUAUAUUAUUUGACUAUACAUUAUUUUAUUUAUCAGACUAAUGUCUAAUAUUAGUUUUCUGCUUUAUGUUCAAUUAUAUUAUACAAUAAGAAGAUGUACAUAAAAGAGGCAGUUAUUGUAAUAAGUGGAAUUAUACAUUGUGAAUGUUUAAAUAUUGUAUAAGGUGACAUUAUAUAUUCUUACUUUGAUCAAAGUUUUGCACUUUUUAAUAUUGUAUAAGGUGACAUUAUACAUUCUUACUUUAGCCAAAGUUUUGCACUUAAUAGUGUGAUAUUAUACAUUAUGGAAUAUUACAUUAUAAUGUAUAAGUUAUAAUAUAUCAGUCAUUAUACAUUACCUAUUUUGAAAGGUAACAUUAUACAAUCUAACAAGCUUAUAAGUCAUACAUAUUUAAGGUGAAAUUGUGUAUUAUGACAUACAUUACUGUAGUUUAUUAUUUAAAUGCAUAAGUUAUUCUCAUACAUGUCUAACUGUUGUUUAAUUAUGAUCUGAUUUAUUUUUUAAAUGUAUAAGUUAUCAUCACUCAUGUGUAACUGUUAUGUAAUUAGGGCCUGAUUUUAUUUUUUCAGGACAUGAAAUACCGAUUGAACCAUUUAAGUAUAUUUGAUUUUUUUACAUGUAUAACGAUGUUAUAAUUAUUGAACGGACUGUUACUUCAUCGUUUUUUCUUUUAAUCAGGAAUUGUGACGUCUUUGUGUCGGCCUAUGCAAAAAUAUUAAGUGAAGGGCAGCAAGUCCAUUCACGUGGGUUUGAUGCUGGAACUUAAUGUGCACACUAUGCUUUAUUACUAUGCCAUUAAGGAAUGACAAAGGCAAAAGAAGGAAGGAUACACGAGUGAUAAUAAAGAUCCGAGAAAUAGUUAUCUUCAAACAAUUGAUGAAAGUGCACUUGUUACUUUAGAGUAGAAUUUUUUUAUAAUAGUCGUCAUUGAAACAACUAAGUUUUUUAUGUUAAACGGUUACAGUGUUACUUUUUGAAUGGUAAUUAACAUUUUAUGAAUUUCCUUAUUUUUAUUAUACAUACAUAUCUUCUGAAGAAAUGUUUUG
rnacentral:lncRNA from 1 species